CGAACGGGUGAGUAAUACAUAGGUAACCUGCCCCUGUGCGGGGGAUAACAGGAGGAAACUCCUGCUAAUACCGCAUACGCAGGGAUGGACCUAUGGCGCAUUAGCUGGUUGGCGGGGCAACGGCCCACCAAGGCAACGAUGCGUAGCCGGCCUGAGAGGGCGGACGGCCACAUUGGGACUGAGACACGGCCCAGACUCCUACGGGAGGCAGCAGUAGGGAAUUUUCGGCAAUGGGGGAAACCCUGACCGAGCAACGCCGCGUGAGCGAAGAAGGCCUUCGGGUCGUAAAGCUCUGUUGUAAAGGAAGCGGUACUUUACCAGAAAGCCACGGCUAACUCGUGCCAGCAGCCGCGGUAAUACGUAGGUGGCGAGCGUUAUCCGGAAUCAUUGGGCGUAAAGAGGGAGCAGGCGGCCGCAAGGGUCUGUGGUGAAAGACCGAAGCUAAACUUCGGUAAGCCAUGGAAACCGGGCGGCUAGAGUGCGGAAGAGGAUCGUGGAAUUCCAUGUGUAGCGGUGAAAUGCGUAGAUAUAUGGAGGAACACCAGUGGCGAAGCGACGGUCUGGGCCGCAACUGACGCUCAUUCCCGAAAGCGUGGGGAGCAAAUAGGAUUAGAUACCCUAGUAGUCCACGCCGUAAACGAUGAUACUAGGUGUCGGGCGGUGCCGCAGCAAACGCAAUAAGUAUUCCACCUGGGGAGUACGUUCGCAAGAAUGCAACUCAAAUGAAU
rnacentral:rRNA from 1 species